rnacentral:rRNA from 1 species
GAUGAACGCUGGCGGCGUGCCUAAUACAUGCAAGUCGAGCGAACGGACGAGAAGCUUGCUUCUCUGAUGUUAGCGGCGGACGGGUGAGUAACACGUGUAUAACCUACCUAUAAGACUGGGAUAACUUCGGGAAACCGGAGCUAAUACCGGAUAAUAUUUUGAACCGCAUGGUUCAAAAGUGAAAGACGGUCUUGCUGUCACUUAUAGAUGGAUCCGCGCUGCAUUAGCUAGUUGGUAAGGUAACGGCUUACCAAGGCAACGAUGCAUAGCCGACCUGAGAGGGUGAUCGGCCACACUGGAACUGAGACACGGUCCAGACUCCUACGGGAGGCCGCAGUAGGGAAUCUUCCGCAAAGGGCGAAAGCCUGACGGAGCAACGCCGCGUGAGUGAUGAAGGUCUUCGGAUCGUAAAACUCUGUUAUUAGGGAAGAACAUAUGUGUAAGUAACUGUGCACAUCUUGACGGUACCUAAUCAGAAAGCCACGGCUAACUACGUG